GACGAACGCUGGCGGCGUGCUUAACACAUGCAAGUCGAACGGUGAAGGGACUGGUUUUGCUGGUCCUGGAUGAGUGGCGAACGGGUGAGUAACACGUGAGUAACCUGCCCCCUUCUUCUGGAUAACCGCAUGAAAGUGUGGCUAAUACGGGAUAUUCUGGGUCUGUCGCAUGGUGGGCCUGGGAAAGAUUGCGCCUUUUUUGGUGUUUUUGGUGGGGGAUGGGCUCGCGGCCUAUCAGCUUGUUGGUGGGGUGAUGGCCUACCAAGGCGGUGACGGGUAGCCGGCCUGAGAGGGUGGACGGGCACACUGGGACUGAGACACGGCCCAGACUCCUACGGGAGGCAGCAGUGGGGAAUAUUGCACAAUGGGCGCAAGCCUGAUGCAGCGACGCCGCGUGAGGGAUGGAGGCCUUCGGGUUGUGAACCUCUUUCGCCAGUGAAGCAGGCCUGCCUCUUUUUGUGGGUGGGUUGACGGUAGCUGGAUAAGAAGCGCCGGCUAACUACGUG
rnacentral:rRNA from 1 species